rnacentral:rRNA from 1 species
GGAUGAACGCUAGCGACAGGCUUAACACAUGCAAGUCGAGGGGCAGCGGGGAGGUAGCAAUACUUCCGCCGGCGACCGGCGCACGGGUGAGUAACACGUAUGGAACCUGCCCGUAGCAGGGGGAUAAGCGGAAGAAAUUCCGUCUAAUACCGCGUAAUAACUCCGAGGGGCAUCCCUUGGGGUUUAAAGGGUAACACCGGCUACGGAUGGCCAUGCGGCGCAUUAGCUAGUUGGCGGGGCAACGGCCCACCAAGGCGACGAUGCGUAGGGGUUCUGAGAGGAAGGUCCCCCACACUGGUACUGAGACACGGACCANACUCCUACGGGAGGCAGCAGUGAGGAAUAUUGGUCAAUGGGCGCGAGCCUGAACCAGCCAAGUCGCGUGAGGGAAGACGGUCCUAUGGAUUGUAAACCUCUUUUGUCGGGGAGCAAAAGACGCCACGCGUGGCGUUCCGAGAGUACCCGAANAAAAAGCAUCGGCUAACUCCGUGCCAGCAGCCGCGGUAAUACGGAGGAUGCGAGCGUUAUCCGGAUUUAUUGGGUUUAAAGGGUGCGCAGGCGGAAGAUCAAGUCAGCGGUAAAAUUGAGAGGCUCAACCUCUUCGAGCCGUUGAAACUGGUUUUCUUGAGUGAGCGAGAAGUAUGCGGAAUGCGUGGUGUAGCGGUGAAAUGCAUAGAUAUCACGCAGAACUCCGAUUGCGAAGGCAGCAUACCGGCGCUCAACUGACGCUCAUGCACGAAAGUGUGGGUAUCGAACAGGAUUAGAUACCCUGGUAGUCCACACAGUAAACGAUGAAUACUAAUUGUUCGGGGAGAAUGAUCCCUGAGUGAUACAGCGAAAGCGUUAAGUAUUCCACCUGGGGAGUACGCCGGCAACGGUGAAACUCGAAGGAAUUGACGGGGGCCCGCACAAGCGGAGGAACAUGUGGUUUAAUUCGAUGAUACGCGAGGAACCUUACCCGGGCUCAAACGACACAGGAAUACUUUUGAAAGGAGGUAGCUCUUAGGAGUCUGUGUCGAGGUGCUGCAUGGUUGUCGUCAGCUCGUGCCGUGAGGUGUCGGCUUAAGUGCCAUAACGAGCGCAACCCCCAUCGCCAGUUACCAGCAAGUCAAGUUGGGGACUCUGGCGAGACUGCCGGCGCAAGCUGUGAGGAAGGCGGGGAUGACGUCAAAUCAGCACGGCCCUUACGUCCGGGGCGACACACGUGUUACAAUGGCAGGUACAGAGAGAAGCAAUGCGGCGACGCAAAGCGGAACUUGAAAGCCUGUCUCAGUUCGGAUUGGAGUCUGCAACUCGACUCCAUGAAGCUGGAUUCGCUAGUAAUCGCGCAUCAGCCAUGGCGCGGUGAAUACGUUCCCGGGCCUUGUACACACCGCCCGUCAAGCCAUGGAAGCCGGGAGUGCCUGAAGUGUGCAACCGCAAGGAGCGCCCUAAGGUAAAACUGGUGACUGGGGCUAAGUCGUAACAAGG